rnacentral:lncRNA from 1 species
AUGGGAAAGGGUGUGCUGGCCCCAUGCAACCUGGGUGGACCCCUCUGGGAGGGAGGCAGAGUCAGGGUGACCAGGACUCCUGGCUGGAUUCAUUGAUCAGGAAGCAGAGAUGGAGUUCAGAUGGUUCCAGAAGCCAAGGCCUGACUAUCUCCCUGGGCCUGUGACUCGAAAACAGCCCUGGCUGGCUGCCACCUCUCGUACUGCCUGUUCUGUAAGGUCACACACAGGGUCAUGCCUGCCUUCUGACAUUCUGCUCACCCCAGAUCAGAGACAGUCAACAUCACCGUGCCCAAGGCCAAAGCCCUCUUCUCCAGGAUGACUGUAUCAAGAAGCCCCAAGCAGUCCAUUCAUCUUCUCACAGACUGCUGCCCCCGCAGACCCAGGAUGGCCUCCUCUACACAAAGCCUGUUCUUCAGAGGCCACAGAUUGGCCCUAUGUGAUGUGAGCACACGGCAAAUACUCAACUCACCCACCAAUAAGCUGUCUGCUGCCACUUAACUGUUCCAAGCACAGUCAUCAGGUAGUGGCUGCAAACUUGCUGGGGGAAGAGCCAGGGUCGAGGACAAAGCUGAGAAUAAGGUCAACCUACUAGGAAGGCAAUUGAGAGAGAUAAGGGUAGGGUAAUAAAAUCUGCAAUUGCUAGGAAA